rnacentral:rRNA from 1 species
GACGAACGCUGGCGGCGUGCCUAAUACAUGCAAGUAGAACGCACAGUUUAUACCGUAGCUUGCUACACCAUAAACUGUGAGUUGCGAACGGGUGAGUAACGCGUAGGUAACCUGCCUGGUAGCGGGGGAUAACUAUUGGAAACGAUAGCUAAUACCGCAUAAUAUUGAUUAUUGCAUGAUAAUUGAUUGAAAGAUGCUAUUGCAUCACUACCAGAUGGACCUGCGUUGUAUUAGCUAGUAGGUGAGGUAACGGCUCACCUAGGCGACGAUACAUAGCCGACCUGAGAGGGUGAUCGGCCACACUGGGACUGAGACACGGCCCAGACUCCUACGGGAGGCAGCAGUAGGGAAUCUUCGGCAAUGGACGAAAGUCUGACCGAGCAACGCCGCGUGAGUGAAGAAGGGUUUCGGAUCGUAAAGCUCUGUUGUAAGAGAAGAAUGGGUGUGAGAGUGGAAAGUUCACACUGUGACGGUAUCUUACCAGAAAGGGACGGCUAACUACGUG